AUCGCUUCUCGGCCUUUUGGCUAAGAUCAAGUGUAGUAUCUGUUCUUAUCAGUUUAAUGUCUGAUACGUCUCCUAUCCGGGGACUAUACACUGUAAAAAAUUGCUGUUAAAAAACAGCCAAAUUUAACAGUAUGAUUCUGUUUUUUAACAAAAACAGAAGUAUACUGUUAAAUUCUGCAUUCUGUAAAAAAA